rnacentral:tRNA from 1 species
GCCUGGCUGGCUCAGUUGGUGGAGUGUGCGACUCUUGAUCUCAGGGUUGUGGGUUCAAGCUUCAUGUUGGGUG